rnacentral:rRNA from 1 species
AUUGAACGCUGGCGGCAGGCCUAACACAUGCAAGUCGAGCGGAUGAGAAGAGCUUGCUCUUCGAUUCAGCGGCGGACGGGUGAGUAAUGCCUAGGAAUCUGCCUGGUAGUGGGGGACAACGUUUCGAAAGGAACGCUAAUACCGCAUACGUCCUACGGGAGAAAGCAGGGGACCUUCGGGCCUUGCGCUAUCAGAUGAGCCUAGGUCGGAUUAGCUAGUUGGUGAGGUAAUGGCUCACCAAGGCGACGAUCCGUAACUGGUCUGAGAGGAUGAUCAGUCACACUGGAACUGAGACACGGUCCAGACUCCUACGGGAGGAAGCAGUGGGGUAUAUUGGACAAUGGGCGAAAGCCUGAUCCAGCCAUGCCGCGUGUGUGAAGAAGGUCUUCGGAUUGUAAAGCACUUUAAGUUGGGAGGAAGGGCAGUUAGUUAAUACCUUGCUGUUUUGACGUUACCGACAGAAUAAGCACCGGCUAACUCUGUGCCAGCCGCCGCAGUAAAAC